CCACGGUGCUGGGAUUUCAGGUGUGAGCCACCCCACCUGGCGUCAUUCAUAUUUUCCGGCUGUUCCUACUUAUGCAUAAAUGCAUAGGGAAUUUAUUGAAUUAAGAUUUUAUAUUUUCUAAUUUUUUAUAAAUGGUACCAUGCAAUAUGUAUUUUUCUGCAUUGUUUCACUCUGUAUUAUGUUCCUGAGGAUUAUCCUCAUUGAUGGGAGUUGUUCCACUUCUUUCAUUUUUGCUGCUAUUUGAUAUUUGGUUGUACAGCCAAUGUGUGAUUUACGUAUCUGUUUUCCUGUUGGUGGGCAUCGGGAGAUUUCUAGUUUAAAACUAGUACAGACAAUGCUGCAUUGAAUAUACCUGUUCCUAUGUGUGUUUUAGGAGUACACAAUUAGCUGUGGAAUUGCUGAGCCAUAUGGACACAUUCAACUGCAUUAAAUAUUGUCAAAUUGCUUUCUAAAGUGAUUCGUAUCAGUUUACAUUCCCACAAGUAGAGAAUACAACUUCCAGUUGUUCCGUAUAUUCACUAACAAUUAGGACUUUCAUUUUUUACGAUGUAAUGUGUUAGUGAGCCUGUGUGUGCUUGAAAGUGGCUUUUGUAUAGAGAAGAAAUUGUUGAAGGAUUUUUUAAAGAAAAAGUUUACAUAUGGUGAAAUGCAUAUCUCACCCUCCUGGUGUCUGGGCUUCUGCAGCUGCUGCUUCUUGAAGUACACAUCAGUAAGAUGUUUUGGGAUUUUUACCUUGCUGAUAUCAAUUUUGGUUGAAGUGGCAAUGACAAAUUUCUGGUGUGUUCUUCGUAGAUGACCUUGAUUGAGGACCAGAGGUCCAGUCACAAGUAACAAGCCACUACUAGUCAGCUGCUUCAGGAAAACCACCCUCUUGCCCCAGUGGCGUCCAGCCCUCAAUAAACUGGAUUACAACCUAAUAUUUAAGGAAGAUUCCCUGAAGGAUGAGAGGCCUGGUGCAGAUCCUGGGAAUGAAGUUGGUCUGCAGGUUCUGUGGUGUGUGGUGCUCUAACUCAUGGAGACUUUCCCCACCUUUUUGCAUAAAUAGUUCUAAAGAUCUAUAUUGCACAGACUAUGUUCCCUGACUACAAUGCAAUUUUGUUAAAAAUAAAUUACAAAAGAAUAAUUGUUGGGAGAGAAUGCUGCAUGGAUUUCUCAUGUUUCUGUAUGUCUUUUGAGCAGAGGCAUUAUUGGCUUUUGUUCUGGACUAUAUUUUGAAGGAUGUUUAUAUAGCAAACAGCCUUGGAAAAUAAAGAUAGUAUCUCCCUUCAUGGCAGGGAACAGGUUUGUUUGCUGUCCUAUAAAAUUAAGAUAAUAUCUCCCACUGGAGCAGAAGUUGGGUGCAUUGGCUCACAGGUUCCUUAUAAAGAUUGGUGUUUCCUAAACUCAGCAUUUCUUAGCUGUAAUUUAACCCCACCUCCAGCAUCCUCCUGGACCCAUGUAUAUAUUACGCUUGUGGGACUUGGGAAGCAAGGGGAACUAAUGAGAAAAAUGAAGUAAUUAAUUUAUUUGUCUCUGAUCCAGGAGCCUCAUGUCUUCUGCCAGCAUUUUUGAAACUGUGACUGGCUGUUUUGUUAACUUGCAAGUAAGAUAAACUGUAAUACUCCUCACA